CCCCUCUCAGGGUCACAUCUGGAGAGUUUCCAGUACUCUACCAGUCUCGGCUAAGGGAGGGAAAGUCAAACAAAGGCCUACCCAUUCCUUUCCUAGCUUGGGCUGUGGCUAGCGAGUGGAAGACGAUCUGCUACAAGU